rnacentral:rRNA from 1 species
GCUUGUCUCAAAGAUUAAGCCAUGCAUGUCUAAGUAUAAAUGGUAUACAGUGAAACUGCGAAUGGCUCAUUAAAACAGUUAUAGUUUAUUUGGUAUUCGAAUUUACAUGGAUAACCGUGGUAAUUCUAGAGCUAAUACAUGCAUUACGCCUGACUUUUCGGAAGGGCAGUAUUUAUUAGAUAACAGACCAUCUCCCCCAAAGGAAAUGUGGUGAUUCAUAAUAACUUUCGGAUCGAUUUAUCGAUGCAUCAUUCAAGUUUCUGCCCUAUCAGCUUUGGAUGGUAGGGUAUUGGCCUACCAUGGCUUUAACGGGUAACGGAGAAUUAGGGUUCGAUUCCGGAGAGGGAGCCUGAGAAAUGGCUACCACAUCCAAGGAAGGCAGCAGG